ACACGGUGAACCUCCGCGGCUAGCUCUGUCCUCAGGAGGUCUUGCACGUAGGUCUAGGGACGGGCCUUGCUGUGAGAACGCCCAGGCCAGGGGCGUGCCCGGGCACCUCUGAAGAGGUGGACAGACUCCAUUCUUUUUAGCCCGCUGCCUCUCAGGCUUCAGUCCUACCCGGGGAUCAAACGCCUUCCGAAAGAGUCUUCCCAGCUGCUGUGCGUAGCUCUGGGCCCGGCCAGUCUCAGAGCCAUACAGAAUGGUUGCCUUCACACGCUUCGCCAUCACCGUGCCCAUGAGUGAGGCAGAGAUCUUCACUGCACUGCAGGGAUGAGGUUGUCCUGGUGUCUAGAUCCAUGCAGACAGCCACAUCCUGGGUCAAGUUGAAGAGAAGCAGCAAAAGAGUGGCUCCUGCCUCCAGGUUUCUGUUGUAAGUUCCUGCCCUGACUUCCUUCAGGAAUGGGGGAACCUAUGAGUCGAUAGAGGAAAGAAACCCUUUCCUCCCCAAAUUACUUUUGGUCAGUGUUUUAUCACAGCACUAGAAAGCAAAGUAGUAUACCACCUCAGUGAUCUCCACAUUGGCAGGGUCCCCUCGCACGGAGCCAUCCUGCUGCCGAUAGCCCGCAUAGCGUAUCAGUUGGCUGUUCCAGAUCCGGAAGUCCCCCCGGCCAGGGCAGCGCUGGGGGAACACUGUGAUGGCUGAACUGACACGGGGAAUGAAACUGGUUAGAGCCGCUUUACUGUUGCCUGGGGUGGGCUUGGACCCAGGGCAGGGUCACUCACCGAAGAUUGCCUCUAUUUGUUGCGUACUUAAUGUGGUUACAGAUGUAGGUAAACAUUUCCUGUGCAGUCCUGCAGUCCCGAGCAUCAAAUACCUGGGCCCAAGGAGGACAGUCCAAGGAUGUAGGAAAGAGAUGAGGUUUUGACUGUCAGCUCUAGAGGGGUGCUGGCAUGGGGCUUGCUGGGAAGGAGGCAGGGUCUGGAGGAGCCCACUGUCCAUGUGACCAGUGCUUUCAACAUUCAUGCCCUACUGACCCUCUUCUAACAGCCUUGUAAUUGGUACUGAGAGCUCAUCCAAGGCUGGUAAGCAUCCAGCUCCCUCCAGCCAGAGCAGUGAUGGGAAGAGGGAGGGGAGGAGGUGGGUGCACUACACAGCUCUAGGGACCAUGCCAGAGGCAUUCUGAUUUGAGGAGAAGGCUGGGACAUCCUAUCCCACCUGAGGGAGAAGGUGAUUUGUGACAGGAUAGGGGGUGGCAGUGGUGGCCAGUGGCCAAGGGAAGGACACAGCGGUGAGUGUACACGUACAGCAGAGGCAGCCAAGGUCAUGGGUUCAGUUCCCCUGUAGAUCCCUGGCUCCUGUUAGUGCUGAGGCUGUUCCAGUAACCCAGGCUGGUUCUGUAGUGCAUACUAGUGUGAAGGAGGUGUGGGACUGGGGCCACGGGGACCUCAGGGGAAGUGGGUAUGAGGGGAAGGCAUGGCAGGAGACCUUUAGUUAGUAUCGCCAGAUACCAUUUCUCCUCCUCUGUCAGCUGUGCUCACAUACUCAGAGAGCCUCAAGGAUCUGAUUGCUUCAGCCAAGGGCUGUGGGCCUUGAUCACUACGCAUCAGUCAAUAGGCUGAGGAUUAUCCAGCAGUGCCAAGGAGGGAUAAUCUGGUCUCCUUAGCAGGUGUCUCUAAAGGCAAUGUGGGACAAGGACCCUUCCACUGCCUCACAUCCUUCUCUCAGGGAGGCCUCAGGAGCUUCCAGGAUCUGUUAAGUCCCCUGGUACCUAUCACGCGCCAGCUGGUUAUACCUGCAGCUUUCCCCACUGGAUCCGGCCCACACAGCGGGGAGCAUUGCGCCAGGCCUGCUUGGCCCCAAACACCAGCUCGCUCUCCCGGAGCUGGUAGGUGCCUGUGGCUGCCACCUCAGCCUCCACUUCCUGAAGCCGCUGCUCAUGAGCCUGGGAGCCACUCCUGGGGAGAAGCGGGGAGAGGGGGAACGAGCCUUGGUCUCAGGCCAGUGAAACCGGCUGGGGAAUGAGGUGUGAGUGGUGAUCUGGAGGCUUCUCCACUCAAGUGUCAGGGUGUUGGGGUGUAGGGGGACCCACCUUUUGAUGGAGUUAUAGUACUGAUUGAUGAAGUCCCGGGCUUGACCCAAUAGCUGCUCAGUGGGUGAAGGGCCCUGGGUGGGCCGGCUCUGUAACUUCCUUGGAAACACCAGGGAUCCCAAGCAGCGUCUUGGGGUACAGGGCCCAUCCUGAGCCAGAACAGGGGACACAAAGGCCAGGAUCGGGUCAGAGUACAGGAUGAGUGAGCUGUGGUUAGCAAGGGCAGAGGGAGGCAGGCUCGGGAAAGCAAGGGCUCAGAGCAGGGCUGAUAAUGGAAAUGGGAUGAGAUCGGGUUGCUUAGGGCUUGGGGCUCAGGGCCAAAGGCUUGCUGAAGUUCUUGCAAUGCCCCUUGACCCCUCUGGUCCUUCUUGGCUUUCACUACUCUCUGCAGACAAGGGCCAAAUGUGAACAAAGUGGAGUUUCUUGGUUUGGGUUCCGAUCUGGGACCAGGCCUAGAAACACAGGCAGGACCUGUCCUUACCUGCUGAGCCUGGGCACUGAGGGUGUCAUAGGUGAUGCUGCCCACUUCCCAGUUCUUUACUCGAGGAAACCUGGGUCCGUCUGGGGGCCGGGUUAGCGGGGGGCUGUUGUGGGCCAGGAAUGCAUAGUCAUGGGUGAGAAGUUUGUCUCCUUUAGGCCUCCCCACCGCUGUUGAAGGACAGCACUGUACGGCAUCAGUAACCCUACAGGGUCAUUGCCCACCCUCCUCUUCCUGACACUUUCUGUCAGCUCUCACAACAGCCUGAGGAGGUGGGCAGUACCUUCCGUGCCCCCACUUAAAGGCUUCAAGGCGUGGACAAAUGACACACCCGGCAAGGGAGUACAAGAGAGUUGAAGUGUGCUGUGAGCCACUAUCUAGUUUCCCAGUGCUCAGCUACCAGGCUUGGAGUGCUGGCCCAGACUGGUCCUCACACCCUGCGCAGAACCUAUUUUGUGUCUUUUACAUCUGAAGUUCUUUUAGUUUGAAUGUGUUUCCUAGCUUUAUUAAGUUGGAAGUUUGGAUCCUAGAGAAGAGUUGAGAAGCUGCGAUUGAGUGGAGAGGUGGUAGAUUCCUCCUGCUACGGCAGACUGACUGGGUUCUAGUGGAGUACCUUUGUUAUUUAAAAAAAAAUAAAUAAAUAAAAAAUAAAAAGUGAGAGCUUG
ensembl:antisense Gm15587 predicted gene 15587